UUCUCCCAGGCAAGGGGUAGAAGCUGUUGCUUUGAAAGGAGGGGAAGGCAGGGAGUUGAAGGCUGCAGGCUUCUCAGCUGCAAAGACAAAGCUAAAUGUUGCCUGCCACAAAAGGAGGGGGGAGAGGAGGAAGGGAUGGAGAUGGGAGAGAAGAGAAAGGGAUGGAGAGUGGAGAGAAGAGAAAGGGAUAGAGAGAAAGGGAUGGAGAUGGGAGAGGGUUGGUGAGCCCUGGGAGCCAGCUUUAACCUCUCCUGGGCCACCACCAGCACCUCCCCAGCCUCUCCAUGGAGAC